UGGCUCGUCUCCGUAUGAUGGAUAACUGUAAUAACUCUAGAGCUAAUACAUGCCAUGAUGCCCUGACCCUACCGGUGGUGUGGUGUAUCAACACACCCGCUGGCUGGGGAAUGGGUGCACUUAUUAGAUCAGAAGCCAACCAGUACAUGCGUUUGAGUCCUCUCUGGGGCGAGAUCGUGUGGGCUGUAGUACUUCUGGUGACUCUGGAUAAUUGUUACAGAUCGCAGUCGGCCUUGAGUCGGCGACGGGUCCUUCAAAUGUCUGCCCUAUCAACUUUCGAUGGUAGGUGACCUGCCUACCAUGGUGAUAACGGGUAACGGGGAAUCAGGGUUCGAUUCCGGAGAGGGAGCCUGAGAAACGGCUACCACUUCCAAGGGAGGCAGCAGGCGCGCAAAUUACCCACUCCCAGUACGGGGAGGUGGUGACGAAAAAUACCGAUGCGGGACUCAUUUAAGAGGCUCCGUAAUCGGAAUGAGUGGACUCUAAAUCCUUUCACGAGGAUCAAUUGGAGGGCAAGUCUGGUGCCAGCAGCCGCGGUAACUCCAGCUCCAAUAGCGUAUAUUAAAGUUGCUGCAGUUAAAAAGCUCGUAGUUGGAUCUCGGUAGCAUUGUUGCCUGCCUAGUCUUCAACCGUCAGUGUGUGCACCGUGUCGUGUGCAUGUGUGUGUGUGUGUGUGUGUGCGGUGCUCUGCUUGGCUUCGUCGGCCUGCGUUGCUUACUGUGCGUUCUCACGCGCGUGUAGUGCAAUGUUGGAUAUUCGGCUGGCCGGCAGAUUGCACUGCUACUG
rnacentral:rRNA from 1 species